rnacentral:rRNA from 1 species
UACGUAGGCAGCGAGCGUUGUUCGGAGUUACUGGGCGUAAAGCGUGCGUAGGCGGUUGUCUAAGUCUGGUGUGAAAUCUCCCGGCUCAACUGGGAGGGUGCGCCGGAAACUGGAUGACUGGAGUGCCGGAGAGGUAAGCGGAAUUCCUGGUGUAGCGGUGAAAUGCGUAGAGAUCAGGAGGAACACCUGUGGUGUAGACAGCUUACUGGACCAAUACUGACGCUCAUGUGCGAAAGCGUGGGGAGCAAACAGG